rnacentral:rRNA from 1 species
GAUGAACGCUGACAGAAUGCUUAACACAUGCAAGUCUACUUGAACUUCGGUUUGGGUGGCGGACGGGUGAGUAACGCGUAAAGAACUUGCCUCACAGUUAGGGACAACAUUUGGAAACGAAUGCUAAUACCUGAUAUUAUGAUUUUAGGGCAUCCUAAGAUUAUGAAAGCUAUAUGCACUGUGAGAGAGCUUUGCGUCCCAUUAGCUAGUUGGAGAGGUAACGGCUCACCAAGGCGAUGAUGGGUAGCCGGCCUGAGAGGGUGAACGGCCACAAGGGGACUGAGACACGACCCUUACGCCUACGGGAGGCAGCAGUGGGGAAUAUUGGACAAUGGACCAAAAGUCUGAUCCAGCAAUUCUGUGUGCACGAUGACGUUUUUCGGAAUGUAAAGUGCUUUCAGUUGGGAAGAAAAAAAUGACGGUACCAACAGAAGAAGUGACGGCUAAAUACGUG